AAAAGUUACUUAAGGCUAAUGGUGGAUGCCUUGGCUGAUAGAGGCGAUGAAGGACGUAUUAGACUGCGAUAAGCUUCGGGGAGCUGUCAAAAAGCUUUGAUCCGGAGAUUUCCGAAUGGGGCAACCCGUUAACACCUUCGGGUGAGCGAACCUUGCGAAGUGAAACAUCUUAGUAGCAAGAGGAAAAGAUACCAAUAGGUAUUCCCUUAGUAGUGGCGAACGAACGGGGAUUAGGGCUGUGUGAUUUAGCAUUUCAAGUAGUAGAAUUGUUUGGAAAAGCAAACCAUAGAGAGUGAUAGUCUCGUAUACGAAACUUGAUUUGUGGAACUAAGCACACGAACGAGUAGGUCGGGACACGAGAAAUCUUGACUGAACUUGGGAGGACCAUCUUCCAACCCUAAAUACUACUAUCAGACCGAUAGCGAACUAGUACCGUGAGGGAAAGGUGAAAAGAACCCCUGUGAGGGGAGUGAAAUAGAACCUGAAACCAUUAGCCAACAAUCAUUCGGAGCCGUAUUUUUCUUUUGAAAAACGGUAACGGACUGCCUUUUGCAUAAUGAACCUGCGAGUUGUGGUAUUUGGCGAGGUUAAACAUUUGUGUAGCCGGAGCGAAAGCGAGUCUUAAUAGGGCUUUUAGUCAGAUACUGCAGACCCGAAACUGAGUGAUCUAUCCAUGAGCAGGUUGAAGCUGGUGUAAGAGCCAGUGGAGGACCGAACCCGUAGGCGUUGAAAAGUCUUGGGAUGACUUGUGGAUAGGGGUGAAAGGCCAAUCAAACUUCGUGAUAGCUGGUUCUCUCCGAAAUAUAUUUAGGUAUAGCGUCGUGUAAAUUGUUAUAUAGGGGUAGAGCACUGAAUGGGCUAGGGCUGCUUACCGCGGUACCAAACCCUAUCAAACUUCGAAUACUAUAUGUGUAAUCAUGGCAGUCAGGCGUAGGGUGAUAAAAUCCUAUGUCGAGAGGGGAACAACCCAGACUAACAGCUAAGGUCCCAAAGUUUUAUCUAAGUGGAAAAGGAUGUGGAGUUGCUGUGACAACCAGGAGGUUGGCUUAGAAGCAGCCAUCCUUUAAAGAAAGCGUAACAGCUCACUGGUCUAGCGAUUCUGCGCCGAAAAUAUAACGGGGCUAAGAUAAACACCGAAGCUUUAGAUUUGAUAUUUAUAUCAAGUGGUAGGAGAGCGUUCCAUUCAGCGUUGAAGGUAUACCGGUAAGGAGUACUGGAGCGGAUGGAAGUGAGCAUGCAGGCAUGAGUAGCGAGAAAAGAAGUGAGAAUCUUCUUCGCCGUAAACCCAAGGUUUCCUACGCGAUGCUCGUCAUCGUAGGGUUAGUCGGGACCUAAGUCGAGUCCGAAAGGGGUAGACGAUGGCAAAUCGGUUAAUAUUCCGAUACCGACAUUACAUCAUUUGAGUGAUGGGGGGACGCAUAGAGUUAGACGAGGUCACUGAUGGAAUAGUGGCUCGAAGGAAGUAGGUUGAGAAGUAGGAAAAUCCGCUUCUCAUGAAACCGAGAUCUUACAGGCUGAACAAUCUCUUCGGAGAGCGUUUAGAAUCGUCGAUACUGUCGUGCCGAGAAAAGCCUCUAAACGAGAUGUAAUGUUGCCCGUACCGUAAACCAACACAGGUGGGUGAGAUGAGUAUUCUAAGGCGCGUGGAUGAACCAUUGUUAAGGAACUCUGCAAACUAGCACCGUAUCUUCGGUAUAAGGUGUGCCCUAUUUGUUAGGAGAUUUACUCUCCAAAGCAAUGACGGGUCGCAGCAAAGUGUCCCUCCCGACUGUUUACCAAAAACACAGCACUCUGCUAACUCGUAAGAGGAUGUAUAGGGUGUGACGCCUGCCCGGUGCUUGAAUGUUAAAAGGAUUGCUUAGCUUUGCGAAGGCAUGAAUUGAAGCACAAGUAAACGGCGGCCGUAACUAUAACGGUCCUAAGGUAGCGAAAUUCCUUGUCG
rnacentral:rRNA from 1 species